rnacentral:rRNA from 1 species
AUUGAACGCUGGCGGCAGGCCUAACACAUGCAAGUCGAGCGGCAGCGGGAAAGUAGCUUGCUACUUUUGCCGGCGAGCGGCGGACGGGUGAGUAAUGCCUGGGAAAUUGCCCAGCCGAGGGGGAUAACAGUUGGAAACGACUGCUAAUACCGCAUACGCCCUACGGGGGAAAGCAGGGGACCUUCGGGCCUUGCGCGAUUGGAUAUGCCCAGGUGGGAUUAGCUAGUUGGUGAGGUAAUGGCUCACCAAGGCGACGAUCCCUAGCUGGUCUGAGAGGAUGAUCAGCCACACUGGAACUGAGACACGGUCCAGACUCCUACGGGAGGCAGCAGUGGGGAAUAUUGCACAAUGGGGGAAACCCUGAUGCAGCCAUGCCGCGUGUGGGAAGAAGGCCUUCGGGUUGUAAAGCACUUUUGUCGGAGAGGAAAUCCCCAGCGUUAAUACCGCUGGGGGAUGACAGUACCUGAAGGAUAAGCACCGGCUAACUACGUGCCAGCAGCCGCCGUAAGAC